rnacentral:lncRNA from 1 species
AAUUACCAAAAAGGAGGGACUUUUAUGGGAAAAUGGAGACUUCUAAGGACCUUGGACUCUUGAAUUGGUGGGGACCACAAGCUAGUGAAAGGCAUUUAGUCAUUUGGGCCUUUCAAAGAAAGCAACGUAGAGAGACUUGGACCAAGAAGUAAUUUGGAGGCUUUGUCCACAUGUGUGGGGACCACAGGAAAUAGGUUUUAGGCUUCUUUCUUUUGGCUUUUUAAGGGAAGACGUACAGAAGCAAAAGGAGAUCCCUAGUUUUAGUGUAGUUUUUAGUUUAGUUUUAGUUUCCUUUCUUUCUUUCUUUUGACUGGCCUCUGACACACGCCAGGUGUUCGACAAUAUUCCCC